rnacentral:rRNA from 1 species
CCUACGGGAGGCAGCAGUGAGGAAUAUUGGUCAAUGGGCGCGAGCCUGAACCAGCCAAGUCGCGUGAGGGAAGACGGUCCGAUGGAUUGUAAACCUCUUUUGUCGGGGAGCAAAAGACGCCACGCGUGGCGUUCCGAGAGUACCCGAAGAAAAAGCAUAGGCUAACUCCGUGCCAGCAGCCGCGGUAAUACGGAGGAUGCGAGCGUAGUCCGGAUUUAUUGGGUUGAAAUGGUGCGCAGGCGGAAGAUCAAGUCAGCGGGAAAAUUGAGAGGCUCAACCUCUUCGAGCCGUUGAAACUGGUGUUCUUGAGUGAGCGCGAAGUAUGCGGAAUGCGUGGUGUAGCGGUGAAAUGCCUAGAUAUCACGCAGAACUCCGAUUGCGAAGGCAGCAUACCGGCGCUCAACUGACGCUCAUGCACGAAAGUGUGGGUAUCGAACAGGAUUAGAUACCCUAGUAGUC